GCCGGGGUGGCGAAAUGGUAGACGCGCACGCUUCAGAAGCGUGUGUCGCAAGACAUGGAGGUUCGAGUCCUCUCUCCGGCA
rnacentral:tRNA from 1 species